rnacentral:rRNA from 1 species
ACUGAACGCUGGCGGCAUGCUUUACACAUGCAAGUCGAACGGUAACAGGGUGCUUGCACCGCUGACGAGUGGCGAACGGGUGAGUAAUGCGUCGGAACGUGCCGAGUAGUGGGGGAUAACGCAGCGAAAGUUGUGCUAAUACCGCAUACGUACUGAGGUAGAAAGUGGGGGACCUUCGGGCCUCACGCUAUUCGAGCGGCCGACGUCUGAUUAGCUAGUAGGUGAGGUAAAGGCUCACCUAGGCGACGAUCAGUAGCGGGUCUGAGAGGAUGAUCCGCCACACUGGGACUGAGGCACGGCCCAGACUCCUACGGGAGGCAGCAGUGGGGAAUUUUGGACAAUGGGCGAAAGCCUGAUCCAGCCAUGCCGCGUGUCUGAAGAAGGCCUUCGGGUUGUAAAGGACUUUUGUCAGGGAGGAAAUCCCUAGUGCUAAUAACACUGGGGGAUGACAGUACCUGAAGAAUAAGCACCGGCUAACUACGUGCCAGCCGCCGCAGUAA